AUCGGAGCAUUACCGCCACAUUGGUGCAUUCGGCAAAUACCUGAACAACAUCUUCCAAGAACUCGGGGCUUCCAUAAUUUAUCCCAUUGAACUGGGUAAUGUGCAUUUCGGUCUGGAGAGUAGCUUUUACAAAUGGGCAGAUGGGGUCUACAAGACCUCCUGUGAACAUUUCAACAUAGUGAAUGACAGGAUUCAAGAAGUUGGGAAAAUUACCAGCGUAGAGGAGCACAGAUGGAAUCCUUUGAUUUGCCGACUGAGGCCUGUGCUAACAGAAACAGACAGGGACCUUUGUAAAAAAUUAGGUCAUAUUCACAACAAGAGAGUCAAGCCGGGCAUACUGACAGAGAGAACACUGCUGCAAGCCAGAUGCUCCAC
rnacentral:sRNA from 1 species